CGGAGGCGGAAACGAUGGGGAGCUUGCUCCCAGGCGUCGAGCGGCGGACGGGUGAGUAACACUUAGGAAUCUACCUAGUAGUGGGGGAUAGCUCGGGGAAACUCGAAUUAAUACCGCAUACGUCCUACGGGAGAAAGGGGGCAGUUUACUGCUCUCGCUAUUAAAUGAGCCUAAGUCGGAUUAGCUAGUUGGUGGGGUAAAGGCCUACCAGGGCGACAAUCUGUAGCUGGUCUGAGAGGAUGAUCACCCACACCGGGACUGAAACACGGCCCGGACUCCUACGGGAGGCAGCAGUGGGGAAUAUUGGACAAUGGGGGGAACCCUGAUCCAGCCAUGCCGCGUGUGUGAAGAAGGCCUUUUGGUUGUAAAGCACUUUAAGCAGUGAAAAAAACCUAACGGUUAAUACCCGUUAGCGAUGACAUUAGCUGCAAAAUAAGCACCGGCUAACUCUGUGCCACCACCCGCGGUAAUACAGAGGGUGCAAGCGUUAAUCGGAAUUACUGGGCGUAAAGCGAGCGUAGGUGGCUUGAUAAUUCAUAUGUGAAAUCCCCGGGCUUAACCUGGGAACUGCAUCUGAUACUGUUAAUCUAGAGUAGGUGAGAGGGAAAUAGAAUUCCGGGUGUGGCGGUGAAAUGCGUAAAAAUCUGGAGGAAUACCGAUGGCAGGGGCUCCUUCCUGGCUUCUUACUGACUCUGAGGUUCAAAAGCGUGGGUAGCAUACAGGAUAGAUCCCCUGUUAUCCACUCCGUAACGAUGUCUACUUUCGUUGGGUCCUUGAGGACUAGUGACGCCUCUCACCCAUAAAUAUACCGCUGGUGAGUACGGCGCAGGGUAAAAACAAUGAAUUCCGGCGGCCCACCCACCGUGGACCUUUGGUUUGUUCAUCAA
rnacentral:rRNA from 1 species